GCCAAAUAGAGGGGUCUGGGGGGUCACAUUCAGACCUGGACCUGAGAUUCCUCACUCAUGGGCUAGGUGGUCCUUGCUCUGAUGCUCAGGAGCAUGGAGAAUCCAGAGAUGACCCAGGUGUCCAUUGGGAGCUGGCUGGUUGAUCAAGAAGGGGAAGGAGCUGCCCAAGAUGAUAUAAACACCUCCCUCUUUACAGGAGCUUUGCUGGCAUAACAGCUGUCUAGUGGGCAGCUCCAAGUGACCCUGACCUCAGCCACCAUGCACCUCACUCUCAGGUGUGGGGAUCAGCCUCCACAAUAACCCAGCAAGGCAAUUCUAACACAACAAGCAAGCCAUAGGUGACCCAGUUCCAGAAACAAAAGGCCUCAGAUGCACACACAACACUGACAUUCAAAGCUGCCUUACCUCCAGUUCUGUGGGUGCUUGAGGCUCACAUAUGGAGCAGGCAACACCCAUUCGCAAGUCGGAGUCAGUCGGAGAGCAUACCAGACCUUGGAUAGCUCCAAUGAGACCUGCUAAAGCAGCUUCCAGGUAAGUGGGGUCUGCAGGGAGCUGGCACCAUUUGAAGCCUUAUGUAGGAGGAGCUGUCUGGUUGGUUAAAGCAUCCUCUGCUUAUUCUGUAGCCUUUGGCUUCUGGAGAGGCACAGGCAUUGCAGCAGUCUCAUCCUCUGAGUCAGAAGAUGGUGAUGGUGCUGUAUCCUGCAGGUAUGAGGCCUCCCAAUAAGGUUGUUCUGAACCUCAACCAUGUCCUCAGCUGUCCAAUGCAAGGUCCCCAGGUUAUGGGGCCAUGGCACCAGAUAGACAGAGUUGGACCAUUGUUCCAUCUAGCCUAGUGAUGCCUGCUUCUACUACAGCCCUGUUGCCUGCAAUUGCAUCUCACUCUUAGCUAGAUUUUAGAUUAUGUGUGAGGAGAGACUGCAACUACUUGCUAUUACUCUAGAAGGGAUGGGGUUAUUGGAAAAGUAGAAGCCAAUCCAUUUUAAGGCCAUCUGAGAUGGCACAUGGGAGAUCUGUGGUCAGAUUUAACAAGUUAAGGUGAGUUCUACAUGUCGCAAAACAAAGAGAUGAGGACAAAGAAAGAGAGAUUUGCAGGGGGGGAAAUGCAUUGAUUUGUGUCCUUAUUUGCAAAUUUAGAAGUAUUUACUAUUAUUUAAAUAGAAACAAUCAAUUUUAUCACAGUCCAGAACCCUGUGAGCCAAAGACCAGUGUGACUGCCCUGUCCUCUGUACAGCUGUUAAUUUCUGGUGGAAAACGUCAAAGCCUCACUCUCCUUCCAAAUGGUUUUUAGCCUUUAAAGAAAAAUCUCCCCAUACUUAGGGAUGUAGAGUCCGUCAAAUAGAGGAACACUUCAAAUAAAGACUUUCCUGUAUGGUCACCCAAACCCAAAACCUUUUUCUUUGGUUAAUAGCUGCCAUGAAAUUGAGGCAGGGCCAAGUGCCCAGGGGGAGAUAGGAGUUAGUCCUUUGCACCUGCAGUUUCCAGCAGAUUGAAUCCCACUGUUCAGAAGCUAUUAGCUUCAGAAAGAAGACAAGGUGGGUACAAAAAACACCAUGUCUGCCACUGCUGCCUCAGCAUCAUGGCUGCAUCCGUCAUCAUUAGCUUUCUUGACAGACUUUCAUCUAUCUGACAGAACCUUGGCCUGACGUCUUGCAGGUGUUGGACUCCAGCUUCCAUCAGUCCCCGUGGCCAGCAUGGCCAAUGGUUAGGGACAACAGGAGUUGGGAGUUCAAUGGCAUCUGGGUGGCACCAGGUUAAGGAAGGCUGCCCACAGAUGAGCGAGAAACAGAACUCAGCAGUGGGGAGAUGCAAAUAAAGGGGUGGGGCCAGUGAAGGCUUGCCAAUAAGGGUAAAUGGGGCAAAGCACCACCAACCACAGUCUGUUCUCGGUCAGAGCUUACCAUGUCUGCCGCCUUAUUUCCAGCCAAUCAAAGGGUGGCUAUGCCUGUCAUUGGCACUGGAACUGUCUACUGUUGGUCUUCUCCCCAGCAGUCCCAAAGGGCAGCAACCAGCCCCUGGGUGGGACUAUGCAAAUAUCAGGCCCAAUUCUCAUUGGCUGAAGAUUAAACCAGAUCAGGGCCACUCCAAAGUGACAGAUCAGGCUCUGAAUUGCAUUGCGGGGGGUGGGGCGGAGGGAGGCUUGUGAACAUAGCCCUAGCAUUUACUCCUGGGUGGGGAAAAUAAAAUUCUGUAUUUGUGGAUUGCAUGCUAUAAGGCUCAAUAAAAGGCAUUAAUUCAAUAUUAAAACUCCCACACACAUACAAAAAAAAAAGCACCUGUUAUAAGGACAGGCUGUGAACUAGUGCUUAAUAAUAGUUACAGAUGCCCAUGCAAAUCUAUUUUUGUCUAGUCAUCUUUUAAUUUUUUUAAAGUAAAAAACAGCAUUUUCUUUCAUACUUGCCAAAAAGCUGUUUGAAAUCUGCUUCCCCUGACCCAUGCUGAAUAAGCCUCUCAGUUUCUAUAUUCAGAGCACAGCUGAGGCCAAAGUCUCUUAACACCCACCGAAAAUGAAUAAUUUAUGCCCCCUUCUCCUUGUACAGAGAGAUACAAAGCAACUUAAUCAUGGGGACUCUUCUUUGGGGUUGGAGGGUGGGACUGAGAACUUUCUGCAAAGAAAGACAAAAGGGAAUUGUCCCAAUAUAUAUAGUCAGGCAGACCAUUCCAAAAACACGCACGAAAAACCAAACACCAACCAAAAUUCACACUAGUGUAUGUUUAGCAAAGCAAUUUUGAAGAAGGCAAAAAAAAAGUCCUAAUGGGAAUUAAAAUUCUUAAUGGGUUGUAGUUUAGGGAUGGAGCAAUUGCUUUGCAUGAAGAAGGUCACAGGUUUAAUCCUGGGCAUCUCCAUGAGAGACUGGGAGAAAAUCCUGUUCUGAAGCCCUGAUGAGCUGCUGCCAGUUAGUGUUGACAAUACUGAGCUAGAUAAUAGCAGCGUGUUCACAGAUUAUAUUUAUUGAGUCCACAGUUUGUGUAAAGAACAGUUGAGAGGCACAAAUUAGCAUGUUACACUCUUUCCCAUGAACACUUGUCUAUGUGCAGAGACAAUGUGCUCCUGUGCUCAGAGUUAUGUGUGAACAAUUCUAAUAUAUGGAGACAUCCCCCCCCCCAAUACACACACGCAUCAUGUUGGGGUGGCCAAAUCUGAUGCACAAAGUACAUCGCCAUUUGAAUCGGUUGAGAGAAUUUCCAAGAAACAUGUCACUGUACCACAAUGGAUGCUGACUUUUUAUUUCUUUUCUUGCACACUUUAUAUUUCUUUAUAUGGUAUUUCAUCCUUUAUGUCCUGAAGGUAUAAUUUCAUUUUUUCCAGGGAUGGAAGCCGGAAGAAAUCAAUGCUACUGCUUUCCUCUUGGGAGCCACACAUUUCUGAUCGUUAAGCCAAUGAGACAACCACCAAAGGGAGUACGUUGCCAUUUGCACAGGAGCUUUUCCGCCUCUCACCAGGAGAGUUUGAAAGGAUCUGGUGCCAUGACAGCCUGCAUUCUGCUGUUGUCCUGGCUUUCAGUGACAACAAGCCUUUCCACCACCUGCAUCUCACAUUUAUACAUGGUCAUUACGUAAACUCCACAACUAAGAAAUAAAGCCUGAGUUUUCUUUUCCUUUCUCCUUCCUCCAUCCCAAUCCCCUUUCCUUUUACGUUAUGCCUUUUUAGACCAUAAGCCUGAGAAUUGGGGCUAUCCUAUCAUGAACAUUCGUGCCCUGCUCUGGGAGCCUUUUCCCUUUUUUAUUGCUGAAGAGCAGGAUAUAAAAUGCUUUAAAUAAACAAAUUAAAAUAAUAUUUGGUGCACCC